GAUGAACGCUGGCGGUAUGCUUAACACAUGCAAGUCGAACGGACUCUUCGGAGUUAGUGGCGGACGGGUGAGUAACGCGUGAGAAUCUGGCUUUGGGUUCGGGACAACCACUGGAAACGGUGGCUAAUACCGGAUGUGCCGAGAGGUAAAAGAGAAAUUGCCUGAAGAUGAGCUCGCGUCUGAUUAGCUAGUUGGUGAGGUAAAGGCUCACCAAGGCAGCGAUCAGUAGCUGGUCUGAGAGGAUGACCAGCCACACUGGGACUGAGGCACGGCCCAGACUCCUACGGGAGGCAGCAGUGGGGAAUUUUCCGCAAUGGGCGAAAGCCUGACGGAGCAAUACCGCGUGAGGGAAGAAGGCUCUUGGGUUGUAAACCUCUUUUCUUAGGGAAGAACAAAAUGACGGUACCUAAGGAAUCAGCAUCGGCUAACUCCGUG
rnacentral:rRNA from 1 species